rnacentral:lncRNA from 1 species
UUUUUUGUCUUUUUGUCUUUUUUCCAGGGCCGCACCUGCGGCAUAUGGAGACAGAAAAAAAUAAGGAAGUAAAUAAAAAAGAAUUUCUCAAGGAAUAGUCUAGAAAGGACUGGCCAUUCACCCCUUGCCCUUCCAGCCACAUCCUAAUAUAGUGGCUCCAACCAUCAACUUUUCACUCAUAUCGUAUUGGUUUCCUAAUAUUUAAAACCUCUCGUAUCGAUGUUUAGAAGUAGAAGCUAAGUCCACUUCUCCGUGUCUUCUGACACUUGGAUUCUGUUCAGGUUACAAUGAAGGAAUGAGUCAUGUUCUUUCAGAGACCAAGGAGCCACUUACAAAGGCUAUUUUAAAUCUUUCAGGUGACAAGGGUAUUAUUUAGUUCCCAGAAACAAUAAUUGACUAAAUGGCUUCCUCAGGGCUGAAGGAGUUAAAGCGACUUCCUCGAGGGAUUCUUCUCUCCCAGGCACCAAAACAAUCUGAUUUUAAAUGGCACAGGAAUUAUAUAAACUUAAAGCAUCAAAUCCUACCUUACAAAAGAUAUAAAUUAGUGGGCGGUCAUUUGCAUUACAAAAGGAUUCUUUGCUUUGUCAAAAGAUUCCAAUGAAAUUGCUUCAAAAUUCAGAGUCCCCUAAUGUAUGCUAAAUGAUUUGAUUUGCACAUGGGCUUCGUGGGUGCAAACACAGCUGUACCAACGUCUCAAUCUGAUUACAGGUACCUCUUGGCCAUGACUUUGGCCCAGGAGGCGCCCAUACCCAUUUCACUGCCUCCAAGGUCAUACAGUGAGGAGGUGACCUUAAAACGUUUGACUCAUAAUUCCCCCACUCUAAUAAUAAAAUUGCUUUGCUUUCUACCUCGCACUUUUCAUCCAAAGUCUUCAAACUAUUCAAUUCGCAUUUGUUAGGCUUCAUAAUGAUGCCAAACCAAUUGGCAAGAGAGCUGUGAAUGCAAUCUUCCAAACUACCAGGGAUGGGGGGGAGAAAACUAGGACCACUGACACAGGCAAAAAAAAUUAAAGGUCCACAUAAGCAUAAAAGAACUACGUUGAGGUUUAUUUUUUCCCCCAAAUACAGUAUUUCACGUACGGUUAUUUUUUUUAAAUAGACGUUAAUUUUUCGAGCAGUUGCAAGUUCACAGUACAAGUGAGCAGAGUACAGAGAGUUCAGUUCCCGUGUACCCCCUGCCCACACACACGGCACAGCCUCUGGCAUUGUCAACAGCCCCCACCAGAGUGGUGUAUUUGUCACAAUCGAUGAACCACCACUGACAUAUCAUAAUCACUCCAAGUCCAUAGGUGGCACCAGGGUUCACUCUUGGUGUUGGGACAGUCCAUGGGCUUCAAAUCUAUUAUAACAUGUAUCUCCCAACAGAAUCCCAUACACAGUAGUUUUCACUGCUCUAAAGUUCCUCUGUGCGUGCCCUCUUCAGGCCUCUCUCCCCCCUACUUUUGAGGUUAUAAAGAGAAAAUAUUCAAAAUUCCAUUUCAAUACAACAAAUCAAUUUUUAUACAUCAGUUUUAUAUCACCAACGUGGGGGUUAGAAAGAAAAGGGAGUGACAAAUGCGGUGGGGGAGAGAGAGAAGGACCAAAGCAACGAAAAAUAAACGAACUCAAGGAGGUACAUGCUGCUGGGGUCGGGGGGAGGGGGGCACACAGCACAGAGGGGAGGAGACAGACCUGCUCGCCAAGAUCUGCCGCAUAAUCUAAUUAUCUGAAAUGUCAGAGGCAAGACCUUCCAUUUCAGAGCUCCUAAUUCAUCCGUUAAUUCUCCCAUCCAUCUGUUUUAAAUCCACAAGAAAUCUGAGGUUAUUUUUAAAUAAAAGGACGAAGAUACAGCGUGUUCAAAAAUCAGGAAAAUUGCAACCAGAAAUCCUUGCAGGAUCAAUACUAUCACCUAUUAAUUAGCUUUGCUUGAAAGUUAAGUCCCUCUAGUGAUGGAUAACACGAAAGGCUGCAAAGGAAGACUACGGUAUUGACAACCUGAGACACAGGUCACAUGCAAGAAAGAUGAGAGCAAUGUUAAUUUACAUUUCAGAAAAUUCAGAGUAGGCAUUUCUGUCUCUCAAAAGCUGUGAAGAUAAUAUGAAACAUCACAUAGAUAUACGGAGAUACAUGGGCUUACACAUCGUGAGAGUCUACCUACAAAUCCAUACACCCUUUGACGGUCGCUUUACAGGGACUCCACGAUCAGAAUUGUAGGAAUACUCAAGCAGGUAGCAAUGAAAAGCAAAUGGGAAUUGAUCUCUCAUUUCUAGACCAUCCUAAUUUUAUUGAUUCAAGAGACAGAGCAUGCGAGAUGUGCAAAGCAACAGGCAAGGAGCUGCAGGGUUACAGGAGAAACUAUUGUGAUG